rnacentral:ncRNA from 2 species
GAGGAACCCGGUGCGAAUCCGGGGCGGUCCCGCCACUGUGACCGGGAAGUUCGCUUCCAACGAACGGGCUCGAUCGCCGCAGAGCCGGGGCGGUCCCCGCUCCGGCGCGACGGUUCGUUUCGGACCCCGCCGAGGCCACGGCCCAGCGGCUGGAAGGCCGGGAGCGAGCGAUGAUCCGGGAGCCAGGAGACUC